UGAACAUGGCAAUUUGGGUGGCUGACAAGCAAGUGGUAGGCAUCGUAGCAUUGGCAUGGCAAAAGAGCGAGCAAACUAGCAUAGCAAAGAUAGUAGUGAUUUCGAGGGUAUGAUCAUCUUGCCUGAAAUCCCGCAAGGAAGAAGAACGAGUCCAUGAAGAAGACAAACGGACGUAGUUGAACGGAUCCUCACAAACGCGACGUUAUCGGAACCAACCCGAAGAAGCAAUCACCGGAAAAGAAGCACACAACAUAGUAAAUAACCAACACAUCAACAUGGCAUGAUGCACAAACGAGUAUGAUGCAUGUCCGGUUUAAUGAAGCAUGGCAUGGCAAAGUGCACAAGCAAUCCUACAAAUUAAGUGGAGCAUCAAUAUGCAUCGGGAUGCAUAUUGACAAAACACCACGACACGUUAUUUAGUUUGAUCUCGUUUAUGUACUCAACAAUAUUAAAUGUUGGUUAACAUGGCAAGAGGGUGAAGCAAAGUAAAACUACCUAUCUAGUCAAGUUUAAAUGAGGCCGGAAGC
rnacentral:rRNA from 1 species